rnacentral:rRNA from 1 species
UACAUGUGGGGCAAGCGUUGUUCGGAAUUACUGGGCAUAAAGGGUGCGUAGGCGGCUUGUUAAGUCAGGGGUGAAAGUUUUCGGCCCAACCGGAAAAUUGCCUUUGAUACUGGCGAGCUGGAGUGCGUGAGGGGUGACCGGAACGAGUGGUGUAGCGGUGAAAUGCGUAGAUAUCACUCGGAAGGCCAACGGCGAAGGCAGGUCACUGGUGCGCAACUGACGCUGAGGCGCGAAAGCGUGGGGAUCAAACAGG